rnacentral:rRNA from 1 species
CCUACGGGUGGCUGCAGUAAGGAAUAUUGGACAAUGGCGGAGACGCUGAUCCAGCUAUCCCGCGUGCAGGAUGACGGCCCUACGGGUUGUAAACUGCUUUAGACUGGGGCGAAAAAGUGGGAUUUAUCCUACAUUGACGGUACCAGUAAAAUAAGCACCGGCUAACUCCGUGCCAGCAGCCGCGGUACUACGGAGGGUGCAAGCGUUACUCGGAAUCAAGGGGGCGAAGGGGGCUUUAUGAGGCUUGUGAGAAAGGCCAUGGCUCAACUAUGGGAUUGCUUUUGAUACUGGCGAGCUUGGAUUAGGACGAGGUUGGCGGAAUGUGGCAAGUAGCGGUGAAAUGCAUAGAUAUGCCAUAGAAUACCGAUUGCGAAGGCAGCUGACUAGACCUAUAUUGACGCUGAGGCACGAAAGCGUGGGGAGCGAACAGGAUUAGAUACCCGUGUAGUC